UACGUAGGGUGCGAGCGUUGUCCGGAAUUACUGGGCGUAAAGAGCUCGUAGGUGGUUUGUCGCGUUGUUCGUGAAAUCUCACGGCUUAACUGUGAGCGUGCGGGCGAUACGGGCAGACUAGAGGUAUGCAGGGGAGAAUGGAAUUCCUGGUGUAGCGGUGAAAUGCGCAGAUAUCAGGAGGAACACCGGUGGCGAAGGCGGGUCUCUGGGCCGAUACUGACGCUGAGGAGCGAAAGCGUGGGGAGCGAACAGG
rnacentral:rRNA from 1 species